GCACCUUGACCAGAACGUUUUGAAAGUCUCUUCACAGCUAUUUCUUGACCAUUUGAAAGAACACCCUAGAAUAAUAUAGAAUUAGUUGAGGUUGAA